UGCGAGAAUGACGGUUCGAGCAGGUGCGAAAGCAGGUCAUAGUGAUCCGGUGGUUCUGUAUGGAAGGGCCAUCGCUCAACGGAUAAAAGGUACUCCGGGGAUAACAGGCUGAUACCGCCCAAGAGUUCAUAUCGACGGCGGUGUUUGGCACCUCGAUGUCGGCUCAUCACAUCCUGGGGCUGAAGUCGGUCCCAAGGGUAUGGCUGUUCGCCAUUUAAAGUGGUACGCGAGCUGGGUUUAGAACGUCGUGAGACAGUUCGGUCCCUAUCUGCCGUGGGCGUUGGAUGAUUGAGAGGGGCUGCUCCUAGUACGAGAGGACCGGAGUGGACGAACCUCUGGUGUUCGGGUUGUGUCGCCAGACGCAUUGCCCGGUAGCUAAGUUCGGAAUCGAUAACCGCUGAAAGCAUCUAAGCGGGAAGCGAGCCUCAAGAUGAGUCAUCCCUGAUACUUUAAGUAUCCUAAAGGGUUGUUGGAGACUACGACGUAGAUAGGCAGGGUGUGUAAGCGCUGUGAGGCGUUGAGCUAACCUGUACUAAUUGCCCGUGAGGCUUAACCAU
rnacentral:rRNA from 1 species